ACAUGGCUGGCUCUUGAGAAUUCGGAUUGAGAGUGGAGAGAGAAAAGCGUGAAGGAGGAGAGAUCUCUUUGAUGCGCAGAGUUCACUCUAUAGAAACCCAUUUUAAAGUUAGAAACGACCUUCUACUGUCUUCUGUUUGGGUACACUUCUUCUCUUCCUCCAUUUCCCCUUGCCCUCUCUCUCUCUCUCUCUCUCUCUCUCUCUCUCAUGGUUGCUUUUCUGUGUAUUCUCCUUUGGAACCUUCCCUCGGCAGUGUAGGGCGGUGUCGUCUGUCUGACCUUGGGCGGUUCUUUAUCUUGAUCUGAUGUGCCAUUGAUUUCUUGCCCGCGCUUUGGUCGAGUCCCACGAUCAUAGACACUCUAGGGUUUUUCAGUUUUUUUUUUCUUCAGUCUGGAUUUGGGUUCUACAUUCACAGUUUGAAGUUGGGUAUGGUGGGGAAGGAGGACACCUCCGCUGGUUCUUGGGGACCGUGCCAGACUUCUGGACCUUCUCGAAAAACUUUCUGGCGGUCGGCGUCGUGGUCUUCUUCCCGUUCAGCUUCUAACAACAAUCCAGAUAGUGAAGAGAAGGAAUGUGUUGACCCAAACGGUAAUGUUGGGAGUAAUAGCGGCCACAAUCGUAAGUUUCCUGCUCCGCUAACCCCUAGAUCUCAGCAGAAUUGGAAAGCUCGGGCGUGUUUGCCACCGUUACAACCAUUGUCCAUUGCACGCCGGAGUUUAGACGAGUGGCCAAAGGCUGGGUCCGAUGAUAUUGGGGAGUGGCCGCAGCCUCCAACCCCAAGUGGGAGGGGAGAGCUGGGCAAGACCGGGGAGAGGUUGAAGCUUGAUUUGUCUGUAAUUGAUAAAACCCCAUGUAAAAGUGGCAGGCUUGUGAAGAGGGAAAGGAUUGCUUUUUUUGACAAAGAAUGCUCUAAGGUGGCAGAACAUAUCUAUCUUGGUGGAGAUGCGGUCGCUCGGGACAGGGAUAUUCUUACACAGAAUAAAAUAACUCAUAUUCUGAAUUGCGUGGGAUUCGUGUGUCCAGAAUACUUCAAAGCUGAUUUUGUAUACAGAACUUUGUGGUUGCAGGAUAAUCCUUCGGAGGACAUUACUAGCAUACUCUAUGAUGUCUUCGACUACUUUGAAGAUGUCAGGGAGCAAGGAGGGAGGGUUUUUGUUCAUUGUUGCCAAGGGGUCUCCCGGUCUACAUCUUUGGUUAUUGCAUAUCUUAUGUGGAGAGAAGGGCAGAGUUUUGAUGAUGCAUUCCAGUAUGUCAAGGCAGCUAGAGGGAUUGCUGACCCAAAUAUGGGUUUUGCUUGCCAGUUGUUACAGUGUCAAAAAAGGGUCCAUGCCUUCCCUCUUAGUCCCAGUUCUUUACUUAGGAUGUAUAGAAUUGCUCCACAUUCUCCAUAUGAUCCUUUACAUCUUGUCCCCAAAACGUUAAAUGAUCCUUCCCCAUCUGCCCUGGAUUCUAGAGGUGCAUUUAUAAUACACGUACCUUCAGCAAUAUAUAUUUGGAUUGGUAAGAAUUGUGAAGCCAUCAUGGAAAGGGAUGCAAGAGGGGCUGUUUGUCAGAUUGUUCGGUAUGAGAAAGUGCAGGGACCGAUAAUAAUGAUAAAGGAAGGGGAAGAACCAGCAUACUUUUGGGAUGCUUUUUCUAACCUCUUACCGUUGAUGGACAAAUCUUUUAAUGGAGUGGAUAUUAGUGAAUCAUCUGUCCAGAUUUGUCCGGGUGAAAGAAAAGUGGAUUUGUAUAAUGUUGAUUUUGAAAUUUUCCAGAAAGCCAUUAUAGCUGGUUUUCUGCCUCCAUUUGCAUCAUCAGAGACUGAACUUGAAACCCAACUUCCUGUAAGAAAAAGCAGUUGGAGUGUACUAAGGCGUAAGUUUGCCCCUGGCAGUAUGAAGGAGUUCGUGUCAGCUCCCAAGUUGUCCUUCUCAAGAGUAUAUUCAGAUUCUAUGUCGAUGCUUAGUGUAGACAAUAAUUUUCUGGUCAAACAAUCACAUUCUCCUGUAAAUGCAUCAACAUCAUCCUCACCACCAUCAUCAUCUUCAGUGUCAUCUUCAUCUUCGUUAUCUUCAUCACCUUUUUUCCUCUCACCUGAUUCCAUAACUUCGGACUCAAGCAAUAGUUCAAAGUAUUUUUCAGAAUCUCCUGUAUUGUCUCCCUCAAAAGUGCCUGUGUCUCUUCCAUUACCUUCAACUUUGUCUUCUUUUUCUAGCUUGUCCAUCUCACCUAGAACAACACCUCAAAACUUGUCUAACAGUGCAGACUUUAUAGAAGUGAAUUUUACUUCUCUGCCUCGUGCUAAAUCAGUCUCCCUGCCAUCUAAGAAAUUUUCACAAUCCCUUGCAGAGCGCAGGGGUAGCUUGUCAAAGACUCUGAAGCUGCCAAUGCUUAGUAAUAGUACAAGGGCGAAAAGUGUGGAAAAUGUGUUAGAUUCUAAAGAUUGUUCUAGAAACAGAGAGAGGGACUCAAAUCAAGAUUUCAAGUCAAUCCUUUCUUGUGGUAAAGCACCUGGUGUUGAUUCAUGUCAUGAGGAGCCGGCUUUUGUCAAAGCUUCUGAUGAAUUGUCAGGAAAUUAUUGUUCGGGAGGCACAAGGUCAAGUGCCAUGAAUGGGAUACUGGAGAACAGUUCAGUAUAUUCUAAUUGGUUGCAACCCUGGGUAUUUCAGUGGCCCAGUUUAGAGAAGAUUGAAACAUUUGGUUCAGGUUGUCUGGAUUCCAAUGCUGCAUUUAUUUUCAUUUGUCCAAGUACAGAUUUAGGCAAACAGGUGGAAAGAAGGAUUCUAUAUUUUUGGUUAGGAAGGUCUUUCAGUUACAACAAAGGGCAGAAUGGAUUCGAUAGCAACAGAGAAUUAGAUGAUAUAGGGAAUAUUGACUGGAAUCAAGUUAUUCCUGAUAUCUUUACCCAAAUGGAUCUGCCAGAGGAAACUAUCAUCGAGGUUGUUAAAGAGGAUGAAGAACCAGAAGAAUUUCUUGCAUUAUUAAGUUCUUUGUAGCACCUUCACAAUUGAAGAGAGAUUUACCGACUCCAAUAGCUCAAUCACCUUCCUAUGUCUUCAGCUUGCAUAAUUUGCAGUGGAACUUUCUGGGCAUUUCAAGGAACAGCUGUGACAAAACAAGCAAGGAGGCUGCUUUGCAAGUGUAAGGUCGUUUCAGCAUUGCACCUGGUUGUACAGUGAUCGUAACUCAACCCUAAUUUGUCCUGCUGACUGAUUUUUCUUGUAUAUUCAUUGCUACUAAACUGCAGAAACAGAUUUUAGGCCCCCUUCCAGGCCAAGUAGAAAUGGUUAGAAUUUCCCCUCGUGCUAAUUAA